rnacentral:rRNA from 1 species
GACGAACGCUGGCGGCGUGCCUAAUACAUGCAAGUAGAACGCUGAAGGAGGAGCUUGCUCUUCUGGAUGAGUUGCGAACGGGUGAGUAACGCGUAGGUAACCUGCCUGGUAGCGGGGGAUAACUAUUGGAAACGAUAGCUAAUACCGCAUAACAGUAGAUGUCGCAUGACAUUUGCUUAAAAGGUGCAAUUGCACCACUACCAGAUGGACCUGCGUUGUAUUAGCUAGUUGGUGAGGUAACGGCUCACCAAGGCAACGAUACAUAGCCGACCUGAGAGGGUGAUCGGCCACACUGGGACUGAGACACGGCCCAGACUCCUACGGGAGGCAGCAGUAGGGAAUCUUCGGCAAUGGACGGAAGUCUGACCGAGCAACGCCGCGUGAGUGAAGAAGGUUUUCGGAUCGUAAAGCUCUGUUGUAAGAGAAGAACGAGUGUGAGAGUGGAAAGUUCACACUGUGACG